GCUUUUUUGCUGACGACCGGCGAACGGGUGCGUAACGCGUAUAGAAUCUGCCUUGUACAGGAGGAUAGCCUUUAGAAAUGAAGAUUAAUACUCCAUAAUGUUGAGAGAUGGCAUCAUCUUUUAAUUAAAGAUUUAUCGGUACAAGAUGACUAUGCGUCCUAUUAGCUAGAUGGUAAGGUAACGGCUUACCAUGGCAACGAUAGGUAGGGGGUCUGAGAGGAUUAUCCCCCACACUGGUACUGAGACACGGACCAGACUCCUACGGGAGGCAGCAGUGAGGAAUAUUGGUCAAUGGAGGCAACUCUGAACCAGCCAUGCCGCGUGCAGGAAGACUGCCCUAUGGGUUGUAAACUGCUUUUAUACAGGAAGAAACUUAGUUACGUGUAACUAACUGACGGUACUGUAAGAAUAAGCACCGGCUAACUCCGUGCCAGCAGCCGCGGUAAUACGGAGGGUGCAAGCGUUAUCCGGAAUCAUUGGGUUUAAAGGGUCCGCAGGCG
rnacentral:rRNA from 1 species